GAUGAACGCUGGCGGCGUGCUUAACACAUGCAAGUCGAACGGACGAUGAAGAGCUUGCUUUUCAAAGUUAGUGGCGGACGGGUGAGUAACGCGUGGGUAACCUGCCUUGUACAGGGGGAUAACAGUUGGAAACGGCUGCUAAUACCGCAUAAGCGCACAGCAUCGCAUGAUGCAGUGUGAAAAACUCCGGUGGUAUAAGAUGGACCCGCGUUGGAUUAGCUAGUUGGUGAGGUAACGGCCCACCAAGGCGACGAUCCAUAGCCGACCUGAGAGGGUGACCGGCCACAUUGGGACUGAGACACGGCCCAAACUCCUACGGGAGGCAGCAGUGGGGAAUAUUGCACAAUGGGCGAAAGCCUGAUGCAGCGACGCCGCGUGAGCGAAGAAGUAUUUCGGUAUGUAAAGCUCUAUCAGCAGGGAAGAUAAUGACGGUACCUGACUAAGAAGCACCGGCUAAAUACGUG
rnacentral:rRNA from 1 species